rnacentral:misc_RNA from 1 species
GAUGAAGAACGUAGUGAAAUGCGAUAAUUAAUGUGAAUUGCAGAAUUCAGUGAAUCAUCGAGUCUUUGAACGCACAUUGCGCCCCCUGGUAUUCCGGGGGGCAUGCCUGUCCGAGCGUCAUUGCUGCCCUCAAGCACGGCUUGUGUGUUGGGCUUCCGUCCCUGGCAACGGGGACGGGCCCAAAAGGCAGUGGCGGCACCAUGUCUGGUCCUCGAGCGUAUGGGGCUUUGUCACCCGCUCCCGUAGGUCCAGCUGGCAGCUAGCCUCGCUACCAAUCUUUUUAACCAGGUUGACCUCGGAGCAGGUAGGGAUACCCGCUGAACUUAAGCAUAUCAAUAAGCGGAGGA